AUUAAAGUUAAUUUGAGAACGUUAGUAACACUAACUACCAACUGUUAGCAGAAUUGAGCUUAAUUACCCUGAAGGCAUCGUAUUUAAUUCAAUAAAGUGCCGCAGUUUCUUAAGAAUAUUGUGCAUGCAUUUGUUUAUUCUGCAUGUCAUUCAUUAAAAUGUAAGAGCUAAGGCUUUUUCUUAUCACUUCCUAUGUGUUAUUUGAGGUAUUCCAGGGCUUCUGGUUUUAUGAAGAAAUGACAUUCCUAAAAGUGAUUCUAGUCAGUUUCAAAGUUGGACAUUAUUCUAGUGAAAAUUAGUCCUUUAGGCUAAUUAGUUGGAAUUUGUUUUUGUGUAAUUGCAACUUCCAUUAUUGGAUUCCUCAUUCAUGGUUCCUAUUUUCUGUAGCAUUGUACGCUACUUAGCAGCAACUGUUGGAAUGCACAAUUUGAUUUUCAGUGCGUGACUUGAAUUUUUUUGUGCACCAGCUCAGCUGAAGACGUUCCAUCAGUUGGACGUGUUUAUUUCCCAUUGACUAGUUGCCAUUUACAAGUUCCCAUUGGACUACUUGACCAGUUGGACUUCCUUAUUGAACUAUACUCAGUUUUUGCAGUGUUCACUUUUAAAAUUUUUAAAUUUCCUAUUUUUGCUGGUUUGCAUGCAUUCUAUGAUAUUUGAUGCAAGUUAGCAAAUAUCAUUCCGUUACUCUUUGAACAGAUGAAUCUCUAUAUGACAUGGAUGCAACGAAUCAUUGCAUAUAAUGAGCUAAACAAACUGUUCCACCACUUACAUCAGCAAGCACAAAUAUGUGUGUACUGUGAAUCAUGGCAAAAUGAUUACUUUUCCCGACGUUGAAGCAAGUCUCUUUCAGUGAUGUUCAAAUAUAUUCAGCAUACCAUCAAAAUGCAGUUCGAGACACCAUUUGUUCCAACCCUUACUACAAUAGUUUUGUUAAAGUGACUCUCUUACUCGAGCUUGCUUUAAAAUUUUUUCCUGUUGAAAAUGGGAAUGCACUGCAUUCCUUUGCAACCUUCUUCACCUUCUUAUUUACAUUUCUCAUCUUGAAUCAGUGAGCUAUGUGAUCCUAAUGCACGAAUCUCAUUGUGCAGCUUCCAAAAACGACGGACUUUUAGCUGCAAAGCAAGCUACAUUACACUUGCCUGUACAAGCAGAUGUGAUGCGACAUGUGCAUGGCACGAUUUUCAUGUAAAGUGUUACAUGGCAUGUAUUGUUAAACACUCUCUAUACUGACAGCCAUGACUUGAUUUUCUAUCUACAUUUUUCUUGGAUCGAUUCUAGGUUCUACAUCUAGAUCGAUUCCACAUUUGUGAUGUAAUGUUUGCCUGGUGAUGAGCAUCCUGUGGUGAAGUGUGAUACCGAGAGUACAAGGGUUUAGAAGAGUAAAGAAGAAAUAGAAAUUGCAGCUUUAUUUUAAUUAUUAGUCUUGUCAAAUGACUUUCUACAUGGUUUCAACUUUUGAGAGUAACUGUGGUUUAGUGCACUUCAGUCAGAGCACAUGCGACCAUUGAAUUCCCUGGAAGAAGAAAUUUGAAUGUACAGUUCAGCAUCGAUGUAAUGAGUUCGGAUAUAGCGAAUCACUGUUUAUAACGAAGGAAACAAGAAAUAGGGUUGUCAUCACUACAGUGUUAGGAAUAUAACCUUACAAUGAGUUCUUGGACAUAGUGAAGUUACUUUCAUGCAAUACGCGACUUCGUUAGGACAAAGUUUUGCUGUAUUGAUCUUAAGCUCUUAACUAUUUCAUUACGUUGUAUUCAAUGUCGCUAUAAAAAGAAUAAUUGAUCAGUAGUGUAGUCAGUUUUUAAUGAUGAAGGCUGAUGCAGGUUUAGUUCUUAAAAUGCUAAAGCAGUGAAGAGCUCAGCUAGGCUGUGUGUGUGUUUAUGAAUGAAAAAUGCCGUACUCAAUUGUAGUGAGCAAUGUACAUAAGAACUGUAGGAGAACUGAGUGUGAGUGUAAAACAGCUUCUUUCUUCGUUGCAGCUGCCCAGGAAAAAAAUAGUGUUUGUGUGAUUCUCUCGUCUUAAAAAAUGUGCUGGCACAAUUUGUGAAUGGUAACGCAAAUCUUUUUGUUCCAUUGUACAUAAAGUGUUGUAGUUGCGUGCAGUGUAAUUUGCCUUGUGAUCUAGCCCUUGUAUGUGCAAUUUUUAUGUCGCAGUGACCAUGACGUGCAAUCUUGUCAUGGAAGCUGUUCUUUUUUUGUGCCAUUACUGCUAUGAAACGUGCAGUUUUCCCGGUGGCGUAGGCGGCAAUCGAUUUGAAAGAAAGAAGUCGGAAGACUUGCAGUGCAGUAACGCACAGGCAUGACGAAGUCUAGUCGUCUCGACGUGCCAGAUUUUGUACAUAUUUUGUACGCAUGCUCUCAAUGCGCAAAUUUUGCAAGGAAAAGCCGGGAGUAGAGGCACCGUCGUGAAGGUGUCAAAUGAGGCAUCGUUGUUGCAAGAACAAUCCUUAGCAUUGAUAGUAAAGACUCCUUGCGGUAGUGGAGUUUGGAUAACAAGCAAAUUGUAUUGAGCACUGGUGACUACCGGGACAGUCAGGGCAAUUACUUAUAUAUGCUGUAGCUAUUGGAGGACCUCUUCUGUCUUCAUUCAUUGCAAGUAUGUUCACGAGGUUGAUGAGCACCAGCGUUUGGCGGAUAAUGUAAUGCGUGCGGGAGAUACAUCACGCUGGCGAGAAAUGUAGCCUGUCAUUGUAACAGUACCUGCUUGAAUGAAAGUGUAGCAUUGUCUAUGUAUCGUUGCCUCACUAAUGCCCUACAGCACUGUGAAAAGCUCUGAGGUGCAUCAGCCAAUCGGGACAGAGAUCCAAGAAAUGCCUCUCCACUGUUCACAACUGAUCAUCCUCUUUGCGAAGCCAGCUGAGAAGUAUCGUGGUGAAACGCAGUGGAGUGUAGCAAACAAGCUGUCCACUUCUUGUCCCAAGAUUACUGGGCGGUUAUUGCUCACACUCGAUUGGCUUAUAUGUGCCCCGUAACCUUUGUUGCAGUGCAUGGAAUUAGCGAGAUGAGAUACGAAGAUGUCACAGAAAUAGAUGUGCUGAUAUUACUGAGGUAGUGAUCGUCUUAUGCGGGAGAGACGAAAGCGGAGUCCUCCAGAAGAGGCCCUUGUGGCUAUGUGGUGGGGUGAGAUGAAGAUAACGACUUUGACAACGAUUAAGGUGACGAUUUGUACAUUGAAUUGUGCGUCGCUUAGAUUUUGUGCUUGUAGGAGCGAAAUUCGAAGGUGUAGUGUCCUGUGAAACGUGGGGAAGUUGGUGUGUUGGGAGAAAUAGUGCAAAAAAAAAAAGAAAAGAGUAGUGUUGUGCAGCCUAGUGAUGAACUCAAGAAGUACAAGUUUACAUGUAAGGAAAUUAUUUUUUUCUUCCUUUUUUUUAUUUUCUAUUCAGAGACUUUCGUGAUUCUAGUCAUUCAGAUGUAGUUGACUUCAUGGCAAAACCUUAAACACAGUCCUGUGUUGGUACAGGGCCAUUUUUUUUUUCCACCUCUUGUUUUUUCACGGAGUGGUGGUAGAUGCAAGCGUAUUGCAUUAGGGUAUCUUUUAUGUCAUAACUAGUCAUUACUACUGAAACGAAGUCAAGAAAAAUCAAAAGUGGCACUCUUUUAUUGCAUUGAACUUUUGCUGUAGAGGCAGCAUCUUUCAAUGCCUUUUUUUUAUGUUUUUUAUCCACUUUCUUAACACUGGAGAUUACCCGGUCAAGUGUGCUAGAUAGGCUCUCGGUAUUAACCGCAACACUUGGUACAUUGCAGUCACCACCUUCUGUUCAGUGAGAUGCUGCAGAGACCUCAAAGAGAUUUUACUUCCCCAUACACAAUGAAAUCAAAAUAGUUCAUUGUUGAGAGCAGUUAGUUCCGUUUGACGUGCUUGAAGCUUUUAUGUUGUUUGGUGUUGUCCUGUUGUCUGUGUCGCUCAUACUUUUGCUCUCAAAGAAGAGAUUGCUUUUUCUGAUCAUCAUUUUAUCAGUGGCGGCAGAAACAGUGCCAUACAGUUUAAUGGCGGUAUUUCUAAGGAAUUCAAACUUUAAGAAACCCUGUUGUUAAAAAAAAUAUAGUCGUACCGUUCUGGCUUGUUAUAGAAAAACCUUCUUAUACACACCCAGCCAUGUCUGAACAUGUGGUUAAUUCACAUGCAGUAUAUAUAUAAAAUAUAGUUUGAGAUGGCUUUCAACAACUCUUCGAAAUUCAUGUAUAAAUUGGGAAAAUAAUUCUAGAUCGAUGAGUAGUUUUUGUCUAUUGUUAAGCCUUUACUGCUUGCCCAGUUAUAAAACAAUGGGUUCUGAAUGACCACUAUUAAGUUAGUGUGGGGUAUAUGCAAAUUCUCCAAGUUUUUUUUUUAUAUUUGAGUUUGUUUACUGAAUAGAAUUACAUACUGAUACAAACCGGCUAAGAUACAAAAUAUGAGGUUUCUUAAUGUAAACCAUAUAGUGAGAUGUCCUAUAAUAUACAUGAGAAAACUGACAGGCUAAAACAGAAGCAAUCGUUCUUUUCUCUGAACAUUUAACCAGCUUUUUUUUUUUUGACAUACACAACAUGAUGAUGGUGUUCGCAUCUCCCUCUCUACGCACAUUGACCAUUUCAGUGUAAAACAUUCUUUCAUAAUUUUAUCCCACGACACUUUUUAUUGCUGCUUGUGCAAUGUAUCUGCCUGCCGUGUACAUCUGCAUAUUUGUAACAGCGGUGUGUACACAUCCGCAGAGUGAUCAUGUGCCUCAGCAUGUGCAUAUAUGUACAGCUAUGCAUAUACAGGAAUAAAGGUUAUGAUAAAGCUCUGA